rnacentral:hammerhead_ribozyme from 1 species
AUCCGGCUGAUGAGUCCCAAACAGGACGAAACGCGCGUCCUGGAU